GAUUUCUGGUUUAAUGCACCUGGCCCGCGGCCACUAGGCUUGUGAGUGCCGGCGCGCGUUUACCAUCCUUCUAGAAAACGUUUCUGCCAUUAACUUGGUUGGGAAUGCGAUCUAGAUCUUUUACUUUGAAAAAAUUAGAGUGUUUAAAGCAGGCUUUUGCUAUGAAUACAUUAGCAUGGAAUAAUAAUCUAGGACUUCGGUUCUAUUUUGUUGGUUUCUAUAACUGAAGUAAUGAUAGUUGGGGGUGCUAGUAUUGGCCGGCCGGUCAAGACUAACUUAUGCGAAAGUAUU
rnacentral:rRNA from 1 species